CACUGCCCCAGAGACACUGCCCCACGCCAGAGAGUCUCCAGAGCGCCUAGAGAACUGGCCUGAUGGUUUUCCGGUGCCAUCUUUUUCUUAUGAUAUUGAGCACAUGCUUAGAGAGGUAAAUACUCACUAUGAGAAAACUGGCAAGACUAUUAAAAUAACAAGAACCCACAAGCAUGACGUUCUUGAGGACAUAGCUAAAGCAAUACACAGCUUCAAGGCCUAUCCGAGCGGUGGAGAAAUGGGCAAGGCUGCCGACGUGCUUGUUACCAAGCAACCAUGUCUCAAAGAAGCAGGGAGUCGGUCUGGAUGGUGUGCAUGGAUGACUAGUCUGAAGUUCAAGAUGGGGAACUAUCGGACCAAGUUGAGCAGAGCUGGAGUUCCUGAGGUCUCUCUGAAUGCAGGGAAGAGGAGCAGAAACAACCCACUCAAACAUCAAGAGACCCAGACGAGCUGAGGUGAACUGCCAUUAAUAGACAAACUGAUGCAGACGACUUCAACGAAAUGAGAUGGUCAAUGAUGGACCGCCAGUGAAAGGGUUCCUAGAGAACUGGCCGCCCCUUUCGCCUGGAGUCUCAGGUGUGUGCAGAGUUCCAACGCAUAACAAACAUCAAUCUGAAGAGCCGAUUCUACGCCGAGCAAGGCAGACUGAUUGCCUUGUUCAGGCAGAGGGCAGCAUGGACAGGCCGUGCAGCAGAGGCUAUGAGAAGCGUCUUAAGGAUCUAUGAUCUCCAGGAGCAACUUGACUUGAACACCAGAUGCACUGUUGCCUUUCGUGGUGUCCCCAUUGACCUUCGUGAGGAAAUCACUGGAUUCCUCAAAUCUGGAAUGUGGAGGAAACUGAAGAGCCAGACAUUAGACACACCUGUCGCUCUCAUCACAGUCGUCGGCAAGAACUCAACUGAUCAUGUCCAGUUCAACCCAGCGAGGAUUGCUGUUGUGCUAGAAGGUGACAUUGUAAUGAAUGAUCUCCCCAGGAUAGCUGAUGCAAUUAUGUUGUUAUUUGGUUUGAUUUACACCUUGCAUCUGAGUUAUCCCAAGCAGCUGAUCCACACUUUUGACUUCAUACAAAAAGUCCUGAUGGGCUUGGAUGAUGGGAAAAUGCUAAAACCAAAGCUUUUGUCUCUGAAAAAUGACCUAUUGGAGCAAGAGUAAUGAUGUGUGGGUAUUUGCCUUUAGAGGUAUUUACCAUCAUUGAGGUUCUAGACAUUGUCUCCAACUCAUGCCCUUACAUGGCAGCAAGGCCUUUCUCGUUGAUACGUCUUUAAUGUGUGGCUCCGCAUUGUCCCAUCAUUGCCUUGUUAAUCGCAGUAUAGACUCACACAGACAGUGUUUCCAAUCAAAAACCCUUCAUUCUUUAGAAGUUGUAAAUGUUUUCCUUUCAUUGUCAUUGAUGUUUGACAAAAACCAUGUCCAGUGGAUGUUCUUUUUGACCACACAAAUGUUUUGGCUGUUCUGCUCUUCAGUAGAACUCAAUAGAAACAGUGUCUCUAUCUGUACUGCUGCUGUCAGUCAGCUGUUAACAAUGUGGAGUGCUUGAUGAGAUAAGCGAGAGUUGAGAUUUGAUAUCCACUCCAAAUAAAGUUGUAACACUAUUUUCUGAGGUAAGCGAGAGAGUUCAUAUGCACUAAAAUAUAGCUGGAACAUAUUUUCUAAAAUGUAUGUAUUACAACGGUUAUAACAGUUAAUGGUUUUUGAUCAUGGCUGCAGCUUUAAUGUGCGUCUCCUCAUUUUUCCAGUUAUUGUCUAAUCGCUGCAGCCUCAUAUACGGACAAUGUUUCCAAUAGAACAUUCAAUGACACUAUUUGGAUAGUCCAUCUGUAGAUGGUCUAUAGAUGCUCAAUUAACUAUCAACAAAUGUUAAAUUAGUAUCAACAAACCCUAACAUAUCAGCAGAGAUGCAGUUGACAUUUUCUUAGUUUCUUGAUAGUUUGAGCAUCUGCAGGGGACUAUCCAAAUGGUGUUACAGAAAAUUCUAAAUUCUUUAGAAGUUAGAAAUGUUUUAACCAGGUGUCCAUCCCACCAUUUCAUGCUGGAGCGUAAACGUAAAGCCUACAUGAUGAGAUUGGACAAAAGAGCGAGAUUCUUUUUUUAUUUGUUAAACUGCA